AAUCAACGCUGGCGGCGUGCCUAACACAUGCAAGUCGAACGCGAAAGGGGAGCAAUCCCUGAGUAGAGUGGCAAACGGGUGAGUAACACGUGGUGACCUGCCUUCGAGUGGGGGAUAACGUUCCGAAAGGAACGCUAAUACCGCAUGACAUUCUGCUCUUGGACGAGCGGAGAUCAAAGCUGGGGAUCGCAAGACCGAGCGCUUGCAGAGGGGCCCGCGCCUGAUUAGGUAGUUGGUGGGGUAAAGGCCCACCAAGCCAACGAUCUGUAGCUGGUCUGAGAGGACGACCAGCCACACUGGGACUGAGACACGGCCCAGACUCCUACGGGAGGCAGCAGUGGGGAAUUUUGGACAAUGGGCGCAAGCCUGAUCCAGCAAUGCCGCGUGCAGGAAGAAGGCCUUCGGGUUGUAAACUGCUUUUGUACGGAACGAAACGGUCCGGGCUAAUACCCUGGGCUAAUGACGGUACCGUAAGAAUAAGCACCGGCUAACUACGUGCCAGCCGCCGCAGUAAGAC
rnacentral:rRNA from 1 species